GAGAUGGAAGGAUUGCUUGAGCCUGGGAGGUCGAGGCUGCAGUGAGCCGUGAUCAUGCCACUGCACUCCAGCCUGAGUGACAGAGUGAGACCUUGUCUC
rnacentral:miRNA from 1 species